rnacentral:tRNA from 1 species
GCCCACUUAGCUCAGUUGGUAGAGCAACUCCAUGGUAAGGAGUAGGUCUGCAGUUCAAUUCUGCAAGUGGGCUCCA